UGUAACAAGGUUUCCGUAGGUGAACCUGCGGAAGGAUCAUUAAAAUUUAGAGCGGGGCUCCGGCCCCGGCACUAAAACCCUGUGUUAACGUACCUUUGUUGCUUUGGCAGGCCGCGGCCUCCGCUACGGGCCCGCGCUCGUAUGCGCCUGCCAGAGGACCCAACUCUUGUUUCUAGUGAUGUCUGAGUACUAUUAAAUAGUUAAAACUUUCAACAACGGAUCUCUUGGUUCUGGCAUCGAUGAAGAACGCAGCGAAAUGCGAUAAGUAAUGUGAAUUGCAGAAUUCAGUGAAUCAUCGAAUCUUUGAACGCACAUUGCGCCCGCUGGUAUUCCGGCGGGCAUGCCUGUUCGAGCGUCAUUAUGACCAACUCACGCUCCGCGUGGUCUUGGGGUCCGCUGCCUCGGCGGCCCCUAAACGCAGUGGCGGUGCCGUGCGGCUCUCAGCGUAGUAAUACUUCUCGCUACAGGGUCCGGACGGUGCUGGCCAGCAACCCCAACUUCUUUAGGUUGACCUCGGAUCAGGUAGGGAUACCCGCUGAACUUAAGCAUAUCAAUAAGCGGAGGAAAAGAAAACCAACCA
rnacentral:rRNA from 1 species